UUAUCUUGAAGGGAAGGCAGUUUGUAGUAGAGCCUAAAACCACACUAAGCUUUUAUAAAACCUCACUUUAAAAUUAUACUAUAGUAACAACAUUUGCACUUAAUAUAUUUGAAAAUUUUAUUUAAUAGCCUCAUAAGUAGUUACAUAAUAGUUACAUCGCGGCUUUUAAAAAGGAUUGCACUCAGCUACUCAGUCCAUUGAAAUACUACAAAACAGGGAAAAGGAAAUUAUGGAGUGUAGAGGAGCUCUGUCCACUGGACUGAGUUGUUUGUAGCAUGUUCCUACUGAAUUGGAAGACGUCCUCAUGCCUUCUGGUAGACUCUAACACACUUGACACCAUUCAUGUCACAUUCCACCACCAACUGUCCAUCCACAAGUUUCCGUGUUAUUACGGUCUUCUUGCCAUCCCAUUCCUGCUCCUGGAUCAAUGACCCAUCAUCUUUUAAGCUGACAAGGGUCUGAGUUUUUCUGCCAUCUAAUGUGUUUUCCUCAAACUUCUCACCAAUCUUGAAGCUGAACUGUGAAGUUUUGAAGGUGCUUUCCGUUUUCACAGUGAUUGUAUCCCCCUCCUUAAUGAUGUAAACAUCUGGUUUCGCCAUGCUUCCCAUUUUUCUCAUGGCCAUACCCACACCCAGCUCCUUCAUGUAGUCCUCAAAGCCCUCGCUGGAGACCAGGCACCAUUUGCCUAAAAACGCGUCGAUGGCCAUGGCGAUGGCGGCGGCGGUGGCUGCGUCCCCGAAGAAGC
rnacentral:lncRNA from 1 species